rfam:Penicillium brasilianum genome assembly, contig: SCAF14
GGGGGUUUGGCGCAGCGGUAGCGCGUGUGAUUCCAGUCCACAAGGUCGUCAGUUCAAAUCUGGCAACCCUCA